UACCAGCACCCCGAGUGGUCGGGACGAUUAUUGGGCCUAAAGCAUCCGUAGCCGGUUUUACAAGUCCUCCGUUAAAUCCAGCUGCUUAACAGAUGGGCUGCGGAGGAUACUAUAAGACUAGGAGGCAGGAGAGGCAAGCGGUACUCAGUGGGUAGGGGUAAAAUCCGUUGAUCCAUUGGAGACCACCAGUGGCGAAGGCGGCUCACUGGACCGGCAUUGACGCUGAUGAGCGAAAGCUAGGGGAGCAAACGGG
rnacentral:rRNA from 1 species